rnacentral:misc_RNA from 1 species
CACUGCUCUGUAGUAAAUAAAGUGCGCGAUUUUUACGCCCGCGUUUAAAAACGUAUUCCUAUGCGCCAUUGUAUGUUAUUGAUAUAGAAAUUGGUGUAUUAUCUGGCCACAGCGUGUGGCAAGUGAUUUAUUUUUAUUUUUUUUAAGUGCGUGAAGAGUUUGCUUCUCGUAAGGUGAUUGCCGCUUGGAAUGGAAGUCCAAAGAAUGGCAGCUUUUUAGUGCUUGUUAAUCAACAACAGCGAAUAGUUGUAAUGCUUCUGGCAGGUGCACAGCCAAGAAUCGAGUGAGAAUGGAAGAUGGCCUCAACAGAAAUGGGAAAUCACACCACAAAAUCGUCUUCAAGCCUUGCCAAGCCAAGCUCUUGAAUGUCAAAGAGGAAACGUUACCAAAUGGAGGAUUUCAACGACAAAACUGGAAUGUUUCGAGCAACUGUUUCGAGUGCCAUAUAACGGGGAGACCAGCGGACCACCAUCUCGUCAUGUGUCAUAAUUUGUGUGAAGCACGGCACUGCACAGCACCGAACAGAGGAGGAGCAGAAAUAUCAGAAACUGGUGCCAAAAUCCCACCAAAAUCGAAGCAGAGAAACCAGAGACAAACGGUAUUAACCCGUCAUACAGGUGUCGUUGUAUGUCGUUGUCUGUCGUUUUCUGUGUGUGAAUGUGUAUCCGAUUCUCUCCUCUAAUAACUUUUAUAAUCGAUGAUCUUGUAUGACUUGUUGUUCGCUCGUUCGUUCGGGGCCUCGCCGUCGUGUAGGCCAAAAGAAUCUUGUUUUUUCAGUUAUGCAUUCAACACAAAGGCCAACGAAAACCGCAACGCGAGAGACGAUGAGGAGAGAGAAGACGCGCCAGUCAGAUAUUUAUCAAUAUAUAGAUUUUGUAGAAACUCGCUGCCAAUACUGGAAUUUUCUUGGGCGUUCUUAAAGGAAACCUGUAUACCCAUAAGUCCCGUUUGUGCUCCCGAACAGGUGUGGAGCCCAAAAGAGGUCCGAUACAUAUGGUAACUAUUGGAUGCCCGGCCCCCACCGUGUGUGAUGAAAGACUCGUGUCGGCCGUUUGCCGUUUUGAAGAUGAUAUUUGCAUAAAACAAUCCGUUUGCUGAUCAGCCAAGCAGCAAAUAAACAAUUUGCAAAACAGA